rnacentral:lncRNA from 1 species
GUCAAAUUGGCCAUGGUUCAAAACACCUUCCUCAAUGACCAUAUUGGUUUCAACCUUCUUGUCUUUCCUUAACUCUUGGUAAAGAUUGAUAGGAUGUCUAGGUGUAUGACAAGUGCGAGUCCAAUGAUCGCCGCCACAUCUAGUACACAUAUUUUGAAAGUUUCUGUUGCUAGGCCCACCUCGUUCCUUAUUCAUUCGCCCAUCCCGUUUGAAAUGUGGACGAGAAGAGUGGUUGAAUCUCUGAAGGCGACCGUGACCAUAAUCAC